GGGGGCCCCCCCCCCCCCCCCCCCCCUCAGUUUGCAGCCUUGCUUUCGUCGGGCCAUCCACUGGCGAGCUUCUCGAUCGAGAGAGGAAAGCAGAAGGUACAACAGAGGAGCUGAAGCUUUCGGGGCGAGCGCUCCGAAUGAGGUCCAAUUGUCAAAUAUACAUUUUUGAAAAGAGGGAGGUAGAUAUUUUCUGAUAGGAAAAAUGCUAUUGAACAUUUCUCUUUCUUUCUAUUGACCCUUCUCUUUGAUGUGGUGAGAUAAUCCGUCCCAUCUAAUGCAUUUCUCCUUCUGUU